GUCUCACUGACUGACUUAGAUUGUAAGCUCCAAAUGGGCAGGGGUCGUGUCUCCUAAACCUGACUUGCCAAAGAGGAUGCUUUAAAGGAAUGUGGUCUCCCUCAACUCAGGCCAAACUUGGGGGCAGGUGCCCCAUUCUUCUGCUACUGUUGGCGAGUGGAAGAGGAGCAGGGGUGAAGGACCAGAUUGGUAUUGGGGCCAAGGAAGGAGCCUGAGCCCCAGGUGCAUCCCCGCCUCUCUAAGGACAUCUUGGUGUGGACAGGACUGGACAGGAUGGAAGCCACAGCGCAGCCCCGAACCGGACCACCAAGGCCCAAGGACAAUGGAGGAAGGACCAGCUGGAUGCCAUGGAUACUGGAUAAUCCCCGGAUGCCAUGGACACUGA